rnacentral:rRNA from 1 species
GGUGAAAGACGGUGCAGAGUGACGCGUAAUAAGGAGGGGGUAAGGGUUUGCCGGAAGUAUUGGGCGGAAAGCGCGGGCAGGUGGUUUCUUAAGUCUGAUGUGAAAGCCAACGGCUCAACCGGGGAGGGUCAUUGGAAACUGGGGGACUUGAGUGCAGAAGAGGAAAGUGGAAUUCCAUGUGUAGCGGUGAAAUGCGUAGAGAUAUGGAGGAACACCAGUGGCGAAGGCGACUUUCUGGUCUGUAACUGACACUGAGGCGCGAAAGCGUGGGGAGCAAACAGGAUUAGAUACCCUAGUAUC